AAUCUGACCACGAAAUUUCCUCAGCUCAUCUCCAAAAUCGCUGAUUCUAAUCUCCCAAUCGUUAUCAUCGACUAGAAUCGGAGCUUCGAUGGACUGUCUGGAAGAGAGCCGGCAGUACAGAACUACCAGAAUGUUGUCUCCGAGCAUGAAGGCCAAGAUUGUGAACCCUGAAACUGGUGAAGCUUUAUCGGUUAACCGGACCAACAAGCUUUGGUUGAGGGGUCCAACAAUCAUGAAAGGUUAUUUCAGCAAUGAAGAAGCAACUCAUCAACUAUUGACUCAGAAAGAUGGUUAAGAACUGGUGAUCUCUACUUUUGCAUUAUUCCUGAAAGUAUGGGAAGGCCUUACUUUUGCAUUGUAUUAGUGCAGAUGGCAUUUUUUGAAAGCAAGAAGGUUAAGUCAUUUGAAUCAACAGCUGAAGUAGAUGAGUGGCUGUUUUCUAAUCCUAUGUUGACCCCAGAGCCUUGCAUUUUGCUAAACUAAAUGCUACUA